rnacentral:rRNA from 1 species
AAUGAACGUUGGCGGCGUGGAUUAGGCAUGCAAGUCGAGCGUGAUAGGUUUGGUGCUUGCAUUAAACCUUGAAAGCGGCGAAAGGGACAGUAACGCGUAGAUACCUACCUCCAGGUCCGGGAUAGCGGCGGGAAACUGCCGGUAAUACCGGAUAAUGUCUUCGGACCAAAGGUGUGAUUCCGCUUGGAGACGGAUCUGCGUCCUAUUAGUUAGUUGGUGGGGUAAUGGCCCACCAAGGCGAUGAUGGGUAGCGGGCGUGGGAGCGUGGCCCGCGUCACUGGGACUGAGACACUGCCCAGACACCUACGGGUGGCUGCAGUCGAGAAUCUUCGGCAAUGGGCGCAAGCCUGACCGAGCGACGCCGCGUGCGGGAUGAAGGCCUUCGGGUUGUAAACCGCUGUCGGAGAGGCGGAAAUCUCUAGGGGUUCUCCCCUAGAGUUGACCUAAUCUCGGAGGAAGUCCGGGCUAAGUUCGUGCCAGCCGCCGCGGUAA